CAGAGUAGGUUUCGCGCGUCAAGUGCCUCCGGAUGGGAAGUUGCCGGUGGACGAAGGAUGUAUCCGCGUUGCUGUAACCCCCUCCGCUGC
rnacentral:ncRNA from 1 species